rnacentral:rRNA from 1 species
GAUGAACGCUGGCGGCGUGCCUAAUACAUGCAAGUCGAGCGAACGGACGAGAAGCUUGCUUCUCUGAUGUUAGCGGCGGACGGGUGAGUAACACGUGGAUAACCUACCUAUAAGACUGGGAUAACUUCGGGGAACCGGAGCUAAUACCGGAUAAUAUUUUGAACCGCAUGGUUCAAAAGUGAAAGACGGUCUUGCUGUCACUUAUAGAUGGAUCCGCGCUGCAUUAGCUAGUUGGUAAGGUAACGGCUUACCAAGGCAACGAUGCAUAGCCGACCUGAGAGGGUGAUCGGCCACACUGGAACUGAGACACGGUCCAGACUCCUACGGGAGGCAGCAGUAGGGAAUCUUCCGCAAUGGGCGAAAGCCUGACGGAGCAACGCCGAGUGAGUGAUGAAGGUCUUCGGAUCGUAAAACUCUGUUAUUAGGGAAGAACAUAUGUGUAAGUAACUGUGCACAUCUUGACGGUACCUAAUCAGAAAGCCACGGCUAACUACGUG